rnacentral:rRNA from 1 species
ACUCCUACGGGAGGCAGCAGUGAGGAAUAUUGGUCAAUGGAGGGAACUCUGAACCAGCCAUCCCGCGUGUAGGAAGACGGCCUUAUGGGUUGUAAACUACUUUUAUACAGGAAGAAACGUACCCUCGUGAGGGUGCCUGACGGUACUGUAGGAAUAAGCACCGGCUAACUCCGUGCCAGCAGCCGCGGUAAUACGGAGGGUGCGAGCGUUAAUCGGAAUGAUUGGGCGUAAAGGGUGCGUAGGUUGUUAUUUAUGUCUCGUGUGAAAGUCAAUGGCUCAACCAUUGAAAGCCAUGAGAAACUGGAUAACUAGAGUACUGUAGAGGGUAGUGGAAUUUCUGGUGUAGCGGUGAAAUGCGUAGAUAUCAGAAGGAACAUCAGUGGCGAAGGCGACUACCUGGACAGAUACUGACACUGAGGCACGAAAGCGUGGGUAGCGAACAGGAUUAGAUACCCUGGUAGGCUCUG